rnacentral:misc_RNA from 1 species
CUGAACUUGAUCAUCAAAACCAAUCACGCAUUGAACUCCAAAGCAAAUCACAUACACUAAUCACAAUAUUUAUUAGGCGAUAAAACAAAGCAAAAUAAUAAUAAGGGAAUUUCACAUUCGCUUCUCUUUAGUUUUUUCCUUGGUUAUUAUUUUAUUUCCACUUGUUUCCUCCGGUUUCUCGGGAAAAAAACAGAGCGCGCAUUGAAUUGAAAAACAAAUGAGAAGAGGAAAGGAAAGAGAAGGAAACGGACCUGAAUUGAAGAGAAAAG